rnacentral:rRNA from 1 species
GACGAACGCUGGCGGCGUGCUUAACACAUGCAAGUCGAACGAAGUGGCGAACGGGUGAGUAACGCGUAAUCAACCUGCCCUUCAGAGGGGGACAACAGUUGGAAACGACUGCUAAUACCGCAUACUGAAGGAGUGGAUUGCGUCGGAUUAGCUGGGUGGAGGGGUAACGGCCCACCAAGGCGAUGAUCAGUAGGCGGGCUGAGAGGAAGGACGGCCACAAUGGGACUGGGGCACGGCCCAGGAUCCUACGGGAGGGAGCAGGGGGGAAUCAUCCGAAAUGGAGGAAAGUCUGACGGAGCAACGGCGGGUGAGUGGUGACGGCCUUCGGGGUGGAAAGCUCUGUUAAGCGGGACGCGGUACCGGAAGAGAAAGCCACGGCUAACUACGUGCCAGCAGCCGCGGUAAUUC